rnacentral:rRNA from 1 species
AGAAUCAACGCUGGCGGCGUGCCUAACACAUGCAAGUCGCACGAGAAAGGGGAGCAAUCCCUGAGUAAAGUGGCGCACGGGUGAGUAACACGUGAAUGAUCUACCUCCGAGUGGGGAAUAACUGAGAGAAUCUUGGCUAAUACCGCAUAACACUUACGAGUCAAAGCAGCAAUGCGCUUGGAGAGGAGUUCGCGGCGAUUAGCUAGUUGGCGGGUAAUGGCCCACAAGGCGAUGGAUCGGUA